rnacentral:rRNA from 1 species
AGAGUUUGAUCCUGGCUCAGAAUAAACGUUGGCGGUGCGCCUUAUGCAUGCAAGUCGAACGGUCGAGCACGUAACUUGUUAUGUGCUUGGUAGUGGCGAACGGCUGAGUAACGCGUAAGCAACCUACCUUGGAGUGGGAAAUAACUUGCCGAAAGGCGAGCUAAUGUCCCAUGUGGUAAUUAAGCAAAUGCUUGAUUAUUAAAGCCUUAGGGUGCUCCUAGAGGGACUUGCGUCUGAUUAGCUAGUUGGUAGGGUAAUGGCCUACCAAGGCGAUGAUCAGUAGCUGGUCUGAGAGGAUGGUCAGCCAGAUGGGGACUGGGACACGGCCCCAACUCCUACGGGAGGCAGC